rnacentral:rRNA from 1 species
GACAGAGGUGGCAAGCGUUGUUCGGAUUUAUUGGGUGUAAAGGGCAGGUAGGUGGUUAUGUAAGUCUGGCGUGAAAUCCCAGGGCUCAACCCUGGAACUGCGUUGGAAACUACAUGACUUGAGUAUCGGAGAGGUGAGGGGAAUUCAGGGUGUAGCGGUGAAAUGCUUAGAUAUCCUGAGGAACACCAGUGGCGAAAGCGACUUUCUGGCACGAAACUGACGCUGAGGCUCGAAAGCAUGGGUAGCGAAC